GGCAAAAACAGUCUUCUUUGAAUAUUUUAAACAAAUAUUUAUUUAUACCAUGCAGCUUAGCCAUUGUGGGCUUCCCGCGUACCAAAGAAUCGAGAAUGAACAUCGGUUUUUCACAGGGUCAGGAGUAAACAUGGAUGUAUAAUUUACGUAUAUAAUUUUAUCAUAAUAACAACACCAUAUAUUUUUGUUUGCAAGAAAACGAACACAAGUGAAUGAUUAGAAUCUGGAAAAAUAACAACAGAGGGUUUUUAUGCACUCAGAGAAGAGUGGAAAAUUAGACACUGAAUUAUAUUUAUACAAAGUACGUGCUACAAUUACAUUAGACAAAUGAUUAUUAAAGUACAUAAAUCCUUUUUUACACCAGAGCUGUGCGUUUAAUUUAAAAGAAGUACGCUUAGAUUUGAAGUUAGCCAAUCCCGGCGUAACUUUAGCCCGGGCCCCCGGCUUUAACUGAAACGUUUGCUUCACCUAAUG